GCCGGGGUGGCGAAACUGGUAGACGCAUCAGACUCAAAAUCUGACGGUGGCAACACCGUGCCGGUUCGAGUCCGGCCCCCGGUA
rnacentral:tRNA from 1 species